UACGAAGGGGGCAAGCGUUGUUCGGAUUUACUGGGCGUACAGGGCGCGUAGGCGGUUGGAUAAGCCCUCCGUGAAAUCUCCAGGCUUAACCUGGAAAGUGCAGAGGGGACUGUUCAGCUAGAGGAUGGGAGAGGAGCGCGGAAUUCCCGGUGUAGCGGUGAAAUGCGUAGAGAUCGGGAGGAAGGCCGGUGGCGAAGGCGGCGCUCUGGAACAUUUCUGACGCUGAGGCUCGAAAGCGUGGGGAGCAAACAGG
rnacentral:rRNA from 1 species